rnacentral:rRNA from 1 species
UACGGGGGGAGCAAGCGUUGUUCGGAUUUACUGGGCGUAAAGGGCGCGUAGGCGGCCAGCACAAGUCAGUUGUGAAAUCUCCGGGCUUAACUCGGAAAGGUCAACUGAUACUGUGCGGCUAGAGUGCAGAAGGGGCAACUGGAAUUCUCGGUGUAGCGGUGAAAUGCGUAGAUAUCGAGAGGAACACCUGCGGCGAAGGCGGGUGCUGGGCUGACACUGACGCUGAUGCGCGAAAGC